UUCCCCCAGCGCCAGGCCUCCAGGCCAGUCCCGGAGCCCCAAGGACGAAGCCUCCGGCCUGGAAACACCCGCCCCAAGCGGAGCGAUGGCCACUUGGCAGCACGGAACUGGGCGCAGCCCGAUCGGAUCGCGGCAGGCGGGGACCAAGAUCCUCUCGCUUAGGACUCCGUAGAGCUCCGGAGUCUUCAGCCCGAAAACUGGGGAUGUCUGAAUAAAAGAAAGUGGGGCUCAACCAGAAUUUGAACCCGCGACUUCUCGCAUGCCAAAACGAGAACCAUACCCCUAGACCAACCAGCCGACGCCUGAAUAGCUCCUGACGUCUGUCUUUGGAAGCCUGAGACCGCGUCUCUGCCCUCCGAUCCUGGGCCGAGUUCUGGCGGCCGGGCUCCGCAGGAACUUGCGCCGGAGGAGGUUUCGGUUUCGAUUCCAGAAGGAGGAGAGUUGCAGCGCUGCCGGAACCUAACGGAGAGGGAGCUCCGGCACACUAGGGCCCUAGAGCCGCAGAGCCAGACUCCCCCAGGCCACGAGGGCCACCCAGUCUCCAACAGCUAGAGGAGGGGACGGGCGACCAGGAGGAGGAGGGAGUCCCUGUGGCCCAGCUCCCUGGAGCUGCUGGGACUACACAGACCCACGGCCGGACAGCAGACAGGAACUUGUUGGGGCUCUCGUCCUCUGCUGAAAGGACCCGAGAAUUCAGCACUCCAGUGCCCGAGAUGCAGUGUGCACAGGAUCCAGGGUUUGUCCCUACCAUUUUUAGGACAGUAAAGUUCUGAAGAAAUACAA